GAUGAACGCUGGCGGCGUGCCUAAUACAUGCAAGUCGAGCGAACAGACGAGGAUCUUACUCCUCUGACGUUAGCGGCGGACGGGUGAGUAACACGUGGAUAACCUACCUAUAAGACUGGGAUAACUUCGGGAAACCGGAGCUAAUACCUGAUUACCUCUUGAACCGCAUGGUUCAACAGUGAAAGACGGUCUUUCUGUCACUUAUAGAUGGAUCCGCGUCGCAUUAGCUAGUUGGUAAGGUAACGGCUUACCACGGCAACGAUGCGUAGCCGACCUGAGAGGGUGAUCGGCGACACUGGAACUGAGACACGGUCAAGAAGCCUACGGGAGGCAGCAGUAGGGAAGCUGCCGCAAUGGGCGAGAGCCUGACGGAGCAACGCCGCGUGAGUGAAGAAGGUCUUCGGAGCGGAAAACUCUGUUAUUAGGGAAGAACAAAUGUGUAAGUAACUAUGCACGUCGUGACGGUACCGAAUCAGAAAGCCACGGCUAACUACGUG
rnacentral:rRNA from 1 species